UCUUCGUCCAAGGGGAGUUCCGGCAAGGAACUGAGAGGCUGCUAUACACUGCGCGGCGACCCGUAGAACCUGAUCCAGUUCGUACUGGCGUAGGGAUGGAAGAACGCUGCGGA
rnacentral:ncRNA from 2 species